GAGUGAACGACUAGCGGGAGGCUUAACACAUGCAAGUACGAGGGGUAAAGUAGGCAGCAAUGCUAUGAGACCGGCGGACGGGUGCGUAACGCGUAUGCAACAUACUUGUGCAGGGGAGUAGCCCGUGGAAACGCGGAUUAAUAUUCCAUAGUCCAGCUGUAUCGCAUGGUAUAGUUGGUAAAGAUUUAUCGGCACAAGUUUGGCAUGCGUCUGAUUAGCUUGUUGGUAGGGUAACGGCCUACCAAGGCUACGAUCAGUAGGGGUUCUGAGAGGAUUAACCCCCACACUGGUACUGAGACACGGACCAGACUCCUACGGGAGGCAGCAGUGAGGAAUAUUGGUCAAUGGGCGGAAGCCUGAACCAGCCAUCCCGCGUGAAGGAAGACAGCCUUACGGGUUGUAAACUUCUUUUCUGUCAGAAGAAUAAGCUUGUCGAGACGAGUGAUGCCGGUAUGACAGGAAUAAGCAUCGGCUAACUCCGUG
rnacentral:rRNA from 1 species